rnacentral:sRNA from 1 species
CCUCAUUUUUUUUUUCUUUUUUGCCCAUCCUGGCUGUGGAUACCUGCUUCAUUUCUUUUUUUCCCCACUGCCCACCGGGGCAGUUGGUGGAUGGAAAUGUUGGUUUUGUGAGUUAUUGCACUACGUGGAAUAUCCAAACCUCUUUUUUCCUCGUGCUGCUGCUGCUGAUCGUUUGGUGAUGUAUGAAUGAACCUUUGGCUUAGAAAAAUGACUCUGCUUAAGCUGGAGUGGGUGUUAAGGGCGUGGAGAGCCCGUAUCCGCCAUCUUCUAGCUGCUGCGUGACAUGGCGAUGUGCUAGUCAAGUGUGCUAAGGGUUAGGGAGUCGAGGUGGAUGGCCAACUGGACAGAGGCAAUCUCGUGUGCUGGGCCAGCUAAGGGCUUCAUAUGUGUGCGUUUGGACUUGAUAUGUGUGCGUUUGGACUUGGUUUUGUGGCUUUUUAGUAAUCAUGGUAUACGGAAAAAGAAAAAAACCAAGGAGCUCUCGUAUUCGUGCGAAGUGUUGGGUGAAAGGAGCAAAGGAUUUCGGGAGAGGGCUCGAGAUGAGCGUUUGGAUAUCACUGGGGGCCUAUGUCCAGCUCUAUGGGGGGCUUGGUAAGGUCUAGAAAAUGGCGCCUCAGGGACUGUACCUGAGGCUCAACAGCCCAACCUUUCUCCUAACAUGUGACACGAAGGAAGGGCAUUUAGGUUAUAUCAGAGAAGAUGGCGGCCCAGGUUUGUGCUUCCGUGUAAUGCUACGGGCUUUGUUUCUCACGUGGCAGUUUGGUGGAUGAGUUUGCAAGGAGACAAUGUGGCGCAUGCUCGUGUGGCUAAGAUGGCGGUUUAGCACGUGAUUAGCCCCGGAGGGGUUUUCUCUAGUACAGUCUUGGCGGGCUUUAGUAUAGUCUUGGCGGGCUUUCCUCCAUCUUGGUGGACUUUGCCCAAGGUGAACUUGGUGCAUUUAAGGAUAAUGAGUGCUUGGUUCUACCUUGUGCCACUCGAAGACCAAGUGGGUGUGUUGUUUGCCGCUUGCCCGAAUCACAAAAGAGCACCACUUUGAAAGUGAUGCUUGCCUCUUGACUUAACUAGUCAAAAACGGGCACUACUACUUGGUGUAGAGAAUGGAAGUGGACCGUGAAGAGUCAACUGUCGUGCAGGGACUUGAGUUACCUUGGUACCUCACAUCUGUCUUUAGUCAUCCUUAUUUAAGUGUCUACCUACUGGGGUGCCAGUGCACGUGCUUUUAACUAUCGUUGGAGCUGUUAAGCGACGGCCCGAUUGGAGAGACUUGAGGCUCGAGAUUCCUGAGGUUGAGGCCGAUGUGGGUUGCACAUUAAAACCUCACCUAUUAAAAGAAAGAAGAGAAUCAGUGAUCAGAUCGAGUUAAGGUGUCUAAGGUCGUUUCGAACAAUUGGCCUAUCUACUAGCCCUCUUUGUCUAAGAUGGUCUUUGGCAGUGCUCUGUAUAUGGUGGUACAGGUAAACUCUCACCCCAUUACUUUCUAUUGACUCCGUGGCCUAAGGUUUGUCUACUGACUGCCUGGCCGCCUCUGAUUCAGCCGGCACUGCCAUCUCAAGCCUGCUGUGGGCUUAGUGGUGACCCUGGCCAGUCAUAAUGAACCACAGAUAAAUCACUGGCCAAAGUUGGAAGCCUACCUUCCUCCAGAGUCGUCUGCCCCAUGGCUAAUGCUGGGGCUAAAUUUUGAUUUACAUGAAUCUUUUGGAUGACCGCAGCAAGUCUGAUAAUUCUGUUUUGCUAGCGCUUGAAUUUAAAGCUGGAGUGAUUAUUAUAGAAAUAUAUUCGAGCUUUAUUUACUUGUAGAAGUCAUUUUAGUUGUCUUUAAUAAGUUGACUUCAGAGUCUUUUGAAGUAUUCGGUUUGUUUUAAAUUCGUUAACUUUUUUGGCAGAUAAUACUCAAAGUAUUUGGCACUUAAUUUACUUUCUUUCAAACUGAUCUGUUGUAUUACUCUUUAAAAAAUUAAGAGUCUUAUGACACACACAGAUCCUGUUCAUGUAAAGUUAACUAUGUGAUGACAUUAUCAAGGAGUAUUUGAAGAUCUCCCCAGUGCAGGCUUUGCUUUUAUUGCCAUCAUCGAUGCUAUAUUGACUGACUCAUCAGGCAGGAACCUAGAGCUGUAGUGGUCUGGUGUCCCCUAUCAGGCCUACUAUUACACUUCAGCUUUACAUUUGGUUUCCUGCUUUUGUAGUAUCCAGUUUCUCCUAAGACCCAGCAUAUACUGCUGCCCCAGCCCCAGCCCCAGCCCCAGCCCCAGCCCCAGUCCCACCCUAGCCCUGCCCCAGCCCCACCCCAGCCCCAGCCCCAAAUUCUUUCAGCCCCAGCCCUAGUCCCCAGCCCUCUUCUCCCUAGAGACAUUCCAAUCUUCAUUGAUUGAGUGGUAAAAACGUGGUGCCUAUUACUCAUCCUGGCAAACUGAGAUAACCUGUGUAGUCUCUCCAUGCUGGCUGCUUAAGUCACGAUUUUCGCUUAAUACACAUAGUCCUACUAGUCCAUGCAUAGUAUUAUACGAACUCCUGUUCCUCAUGUUAAUCAUGAAAUACCAACUUCACAAGAGUUCCAUUUCAGAGAAUUGCCAUCAAGGCACCAUCUCCUAAGUCUCCUUUCUUUAAGGAAGGAAAGACUGUUCUGCCAUUACUGCUGUAGUCACAGUCCCAAUUUUCUGAGCAGUGCUCAGUAGUCUUUUCUCACAGUCUUGAGCACUCUUUACAUUAAGUAAUUCUUAUUGUCCAUAAUUUAUCCAUUGGAUUAGACCCCAGCUAGUCCAGUCCCAUUUGCAUUCAGCAGAGGGACAAAACACAAGUCUGUUAAACAGACAGUUAAGGUGCUCGGUCCCAAUCCUGAGGGCCUUGGCUAUUAAGGGGGGCCAGGCCAUAGGCAAACACAAGUCUGUUAAACAGACAGUUAAGGUGCUCGGUCCCAAUUCUGAGGGCCUUGGCUAUUAAGGGAGCCAGGCCAUAGGCAAACACAAGUCUGUUAAACAGACAGUUAAGGUGCUCGGUCCCAAUUCUGAGGGCCUUGGCUAUUAAGGGAGCCAGGCCAUAGGCAAACACAAGUCUGUUAAACAGACAGUUAAGGUGCUCGGUCCCAAUUCUGAGGGCCUUGGCUAUUAAGGGACGACUAUAUUCUGUUUGCAUGCUGGCCGUGGGUGCUAUCACGCCAGGUUACAUCUUUUAAACUGAUGAUGGACAAACUUAUCUGUUCAUGAUAUUGUGUACUAGUCCAAUCAGUUCCCCUUAUUUUGGCUGAAAACUGAACUGGGACAGUUUAUGUGAAUGAUCCUGAUUAAGAACUGAACCUUUUUCUCAAGGUCCUUGUACAACCUUAGUGUUUUUACGUUAAGAGGGUGCCUAUUACCUAAAGCCUCUUAUACAGCUGUGCCAAAAAAAAAAAAAAACCUGCAGUUGCUCAAGCUCCCAUUACUAAUGGUGACAAUAGAUGGGUGCUAACCGAUAAGGCCCCUUCUUUGUACUUAGCAGUCUUGAGCACGUUAGUAAAGCACUCUGCCAUGGAGCUACAGCUCCACCUUGUGGUUGGUUUGAGAAUAAGACUCUUUAUGUAACCUGGGCUGGCACUUAAUUUUUGUGCUUCUUGGUCCCAGUUACUGGAACUAGUCGUUCAUCUUCACUACUUCUGCCUGUCUAUAUGUGCACGGCUGUGUUUGUACCUCUUCCUGAGCAUUGGAUAAAGAAACUAAAAACUCAGUCAUUUAUUUAGUAAGACUCUGAACUCAGAUUCAAUCUGUUCUCUUUUUAAUUUCCAAGCUGGCCCAAAAUUUACUAUGUAACUAAGGCCGGUCUUGAGCUCAGGAUCAAUCAAGCCUUUACUUCACAAGUGCUGGCAUAACUGGUGUCUAUCACCAUGCCAUGCAGUCUCUCAGAUUGAAAUGUGCAUAUUUCAUUUUGCUGUAGUAGUACGAAAAGACCUUAUGGAUGCAUUUCUAUUGCAGCAGGAGGUGCCUAGUACUUAAGAUCCUUAACAUAGUAAACGUGCACAGUCUUAAAUUGUCUCAUACAUAUUACGUCCACAGUUGUGCCUUUUAGAUCAGAACUCCUGUAUGGAUCAAAGCAAAGAGGCUCGCUAACACUGUGGUCUCUUUCUUGAGGCUAUAGAAAUGAUCCUAAUAUUAACGGUCCUUCGCUUAAAGAGAACUAUGUGCUGCUGUUCAUUUAAAGCACCUUUCUCAACCUACUAAUGUACAUAAUGCCAAUUUCAGAAGGAUCAAUUUUACUCUUACUUUGAAGUACAGCAGCGGUGUUGACCCAUAAGGUCCCAUUUUGUGGCUUGCUAAUAAUGUCUGAUUGUACUUGUCCUUUUCUGUUUGAUACAGAAAGAAAUCAUUCCACACCUUUAUGCCUUUCCCUUUCAUCAGGGAAUGCACAUUGCCAAAGAUUCUUAUGUUUGAACAGUCAAAGCAUAAAACUAAUGGCCACAACUAAGUACCUUGAGUAUUAGUGGGCCAUAAACCGUACAUGACUCAUUCCAUUUGAAUAAGAUCCUAUUCUCAGACCUUUUUGCAGUACAGCAAGGGUCAUGAAUCUCUUGGCUUUUCUGUCUUCCUGGACACUGGGUAAGGAUAUCCUCUCCUUUACACUCAUGUCCAUCACUUUAAUGUUUUAAUUAACCACUCUGUCCCUUGAACAUUAGUGUACAUAAUGGGGACGUGAUUCACUCAUUUCUAUAAAAAUAUUUGGAUAGUUAAUGUGCAGAAGUGCAGUUUUAAGUCCAGUGUAUCUCUUUUGCACUACUGCAAGGAAUACUGUUAUUCCCAAGGUCCUUGCUAAUAGACCAUUAAUAUAUACAAUGGAAAUUUUCCUUUGCCUCUAUCAGUAGACAAAGUCAUAUUCCCUUGCCUUUCAUUUGCAGUAUGGCAGGGUAUGCUGAUCAACCAAGGCUGCCUUCUUUUUGGACUGUUAGUAUGUAUUAUAUGCUAUAUGUAUGAAUAUGCAUUUCCUCCUGCUCUGUGCACUGGAAAAGGAUUCCAUUCACUUCCUUUUCACCUUCAGCAGGAAGUGGAAAGUUCACAUGUACAAUGUCUAAGCACUUGUAUCAGAAACCCUGUACUCUCUUCCUCUGCUUUAAAGCAGAAAGAGGCUUUUACACUGUGCUCUUCAUUUGGACUUGAAUGUGCAUUAAUGCAGUUGUCCAUUCUCACCUUUGGAGUGGGAUUUUAACAUCCUUAAACUCCCUGGACAUCAGAGGCAUGUUAACUAGAUUUUAGCACUUCUCUUGUGAAUAUUAAUAUGUAUACUUACACAUGGACCUAUGUAGCAGAAAGGGUUCCUAAGUGUUUACUUUUGGACUGGGGCUGCUGAGGAAUGAUAACUACUUAUAACCUCAGCAUCUGGAAUGAUUACUGUGCAACAAUACCAGUGGUUGAGAGCACCGAUUAUUAGUUGGACCACUGUACUCUCUUUGCAUACCGACACCAGCCUCUGAAKUGUUGGUGUGCAUAUUGUAAUUAUGAAUGACUAGAAUACUAUGUUCUCAUACCCCAUUGCAUUAUUACUGCAGGGGCUGCUGACUCAUCUAGAACAACUGGGACUGUUAAUGAGCACAGUGACUAUGAUCAACGGCUUAUUUUGGGACUAUUAAUAGGCAUAAUGGCAGCUAUUGAUGGUUUAUUUUCUACUCUGACAUGUUUCCCAUUGGCAUAAUAAAGUAAAAUACUGAAUAUGCCUAUGCUUUGUACACCCAACAAUGGCCCAUGUUUCAUCCCUUUCACAUUGUCCCAGUAUAUCAAGCCUUAAAUGGCUGCAAUCUCAUACUGCACACAGUCUUCCCUCUGCCCAGCCCCCUAGCUUGUCCAGGCACCACUCUUAUGGACUAGUAGCAAUUCUCACAAUCCAGUUGUUGAAGAUUUUGCACCCUCUCCCCAGUUCCAUCACACUGUCCCUUCCACCCCUUUGCUGAGUCUACUGACUUGGCAAAGCCCUUCUCUUGACAUAAAAUCAACAAUCCCAGAAGCCAUCAGUUUACCCACUUCAUAUGGCUGCAAUGUUUCUGUUACACUCUCCUUACUUGGUCCUACCCAUCGAACAGAAACGUCUCUACCGCGUUAUUCUGUCAAUGACCCAAAGCACCUUGUGUGCCCUAAUUAACACAGUACCGACCGAUUGGCCCACUUUUCAACCCAUGUGUCCAAGAGCUCCCUACUGCUUCGAUGGAUUUGCGCAUGUUAAAUAUCAAGCAGGCCAAAACUAGGUGGAUGAAUCUUCGUUCUUAAUUUCUUAAUUACUCCAAUUCCAAUUGCUGGCACAUUCUAGGGCCAGGAAUGAUUCCUGCCCACCCGUAUUAAUGUCUUAUUGUGAACAAAUAUUCCAGGCAAGUUGCUCAGGGAGCUGGAUUGCCACCUUUUACUUGGGGCUUUGCUUAUAUAAUAUCAACUGAAAACUGUCUCCCAGAGAAGGAAGAUUAAUAAUUACCGUUCUUCCUCCAAAAGCUGACUGCCUGCUUAAGAAGCUCAAAGCUUGCUUCUCUUCUGCAGAUUGCUAAUGUACAGUGCCAACUGCCAGAAAGGUUGAUAGUUUAUUCCUUCAGAAAGGCAUUCGGAUCGUAAGAUGGAAAUGAUUGUGUGAUCACUAGCUUUUCUGAAGUAAAAUAUUCGUUUAUAUUAUAUAUCUGAUGACCAAAUGGUGUCUCCCAUUUUACUGAGGGUGGUGAGUCUGUGGCACUAUAACUGUUACUAUUCCAAUACUAUCAAAGUGGUUAUGGAAUAGAAUGCUUAAGACUGGUUAUGUUUGUUUGGUCACUAAUACCAGUUUAAGAACAAAGUCAAUCUUUGUGACUUUCAGUAUUAUUGUCUUUUAGGAAAAUGACCAAACUUGUGUAAUCUUGAAAUUUGGUCAGACAUUGUACACCAGCCCCUACUUAUUUUUAAAAGAUGGCUGCGAAAGAGUUAAAUAAAAGAACAUGUCAAGUUACCUUGGAAAAUUCUAAGCUAUCACAUUUGAUUAAUUCAUUAUACUUGCCAUUAAAAUUCUGGCAAUAACUUGAAGUGGCUUGAAAAAAAAAAACCACCCUAAAGUGGGAAAUUUAAAAUAAUGGAGCCUGUUUUCCCACUUUGCAUUUUAAAACCUAUAUGCCAAGAUCUAAUCAUUCUUUUGAGAGUACACUUCAAAGAGAGAUCUGCCUAGGAAGAAAAUAUUUGUAGUGUUCAUAAAGGAUGUUUUGCGUCGGCCGAGUAUUUAAGCUUUUUUGGUUUUUAGUGUGUGUGUGUGUGUGUGUGUGUGUGUGUGCACGCGCAUUGGAGUAUCGUACAUUCACACGGUGACCAGAGAGAAAUGAGAACUGGUUCUUCUACCUUGUGGGUCCUGGAGAUCAAACUCAGAUCAUCAGGCUUGCCAGCCUCUACGAGGAUUUAAAGUGACAUUGCUGAUGAAAAAUCACAACAGCCAGUUCUUCACUAUUACUGAAAAAUGAUACUAUUUUUCUGAGAAGGAUGUCAAUAAAUACACUCAAUUCAGAAUCCAGGUUGAACUUUGGCUGUUCAGACAACUACAGAAGACCCGAGCCCUUUAGAAUACAGGUCUAACUAUCAUCAGAAUGUUUUCCAAGGAUGAAUUUGCAGGUUGGUUUUGUGUCCUGACUGAAGAAAGACGGCCUGAUUUUUAGAGACAGCUAGACAGCAUCCAAAGGGGCAACCCCAGCACAAGACUCAAGGACUGCCAGCCACUCAUACACGCUUCAAGUUCAGCAGAUCUUUCCUUGAGGCUCUGGACAAGCUCUAGCUAAUUUGAGCAGGCCUCGUGGGAAAAAAAGACCUUCCCCCUUAUGCAAGGGCUUGCUGCUUUGCAGUGCUGGUGACCUAUUCCCUUUGACGAUCCCUAGGUGGAGAUGGGGCAUGAGGAUCCUCCAGGGGAAUAGCUCACCACCACUGGGCAACAGCCCUAGCAGGGAGAUGUAACGAGACACUUUGCUGAGCCCAGCAAGCAAGAUAGAGUCAAAGACAGCCAGCCACUGUACAUCAAAACAGGAGAAAGGCUGUAGUGGCACCGACUUCAUUCUGUUUCAUCUGGCUCUCAAUCUCCUUUGAAGCUCCAGGAGAACUUUACCACCAGCUGUUUGCGCACUUCAAGAUUCACUGUGUUACCGAUGGCAUUAGAAUAUACUCCAGCUACCAAAUCAUCACCCAUCCCCAAAGCAGCACCAAUGCUGGGUCUCCAGCAGGAUCAGGAAAUGUGAACACAUGAAAGAAAGUCAGCUUUGUGGCCCAAGGACCGACGUGGCCUCAUCUUAGAACAGAAUGAAUGUGUAUUGUGUUGUGUGUCUAUUUUUCUUCAUUGUUUUAUGCAUCUAUUUUUUCCUUGCUUUGCACGUCUAAUUCUUUGUAUCUAUUUUUCCUUGCCUUGUGUGUCUAGCUCUGUCAAUGUAUCCAUUUCUUCCUUGCUUUGUGUGUCUCUUCUUAGCUUUUUCUGUCUAAUUUCUUUGUAUCUAUUUCUUCUUUGCUGUGUGCGCGUUUCUCCUUUAUGUUGUGUGCUUCUUCCUCCCUUUGUGUGCCUUUCUUCCUCGCCUUGUGACUUUCUUACUUUGUCUUCCUCACCUUGUGACUUUCUUAUUUGUGUGUCUUUCUUCCUCGCUUUGUGUCUUUUCUUCCUCGCUUUGUGUGUCUUUCUUCCUCACUUUGUGACUUGCUUUGUGUCUUUCUUCUUUGCUUUGUGUGUCUUCCUCACUUUGUGUGUCUUCCUCGUUUUUUGUGUCUUUAUCACUUUGUGUGUCUUCCUCACUUUGUGUCUUCCUUGUUUUGUGUGUCUUUCUUCCUCACUUUGUGUGUCUUUCUUCCUCACUUUGUGUGUCUUCCUCGCUUUGUGUGACUUUCUUUGUGUUGUUUCUUACUUUGUGUAUCUUUCUUCCUUGUAUUGUGUUUCUUCCUCGUGUUGUGUGACUUUCUUCCUUGUGCUGCAUGUUUCUUCCUCACAUUGUGUGUCUUUCUUGCCUUGAUGUCUCUGCCUUCCUUAAGUGUCUUUCCUCCUCCUCUAGCUACAGUAUUUCUCUAAUUUCUUCCUUGUAGAACUUUGAGCUUAGUCUUGUUUUCUCCUGGUGCCUGUGUGGUCUGUGUCUUUUCUGUUUUGCUAUUUCUCUUAGCUCUUCUUUUGCUCUUUUCUGUCUGUCACGGCUCCUUUAGGGGUCACAUGUUGUACACAUUUCUCUCCAUUCCUUGUCUCCAUCUGUCGUCCUUAGACUCAACGUUUCCCAUUUUUCUUUCUGUUGUUUCUAGCCGUUCUGCAUGAUUCUUCUUCACCACAUCUCCUUUCUGCCUUUCUUGGGCUGCUUUCUCCCUUUCCCUUUUUCUUUGCUGACCUCAGCAUCUCUCUUGCUUGGUGUUUGUGUUUCUUCCUCCGGUUUCUACACACUGAGCAUCUCAGUCUCCUAUGAGUCUGUGUCUCUUCCUCUAACGUAAUCCUCUCUUGGAUAUUUCCCUCUCUCUCUCUCUCUCUCUCUCUCUCUCUCUCUCUCUCUCUCUCUCUCUCUCUCUCUCUCUGUGUGUGUGUGUGUGUGUGUGUGUGUGUGUGAUGUGUGACAUAGGGGCUUCCUAGCUCUUCCUAGCCGAAUGUCACCAGUGGAACUGUUCCUCAUGCCAGACUGCCCUUCGACAAAACACCGCACUCGGUCAGGACUGAUGUCGAUUUAAAGUGGAAGACAGAUGUUUUGUGACCCGAGACUUAAGGACCAACAUACACAGGAGGCCUGUCUGAGCUGGCUGGAAGGCUCAACACUUCGGAUGGAUGGACAGAAAGGUGACAACCCUUCAGAGAGGGGCUGUUUCUACAGGAUCCAUGAAGUCUAAGAACUGAGAACUGCAUCAUAAGACACGGAACCUGAGCUAAGUCCAAGCCUAACACCUAAGGACUAGAGCAUAUUUGAACAGAAAGUCUAAGAGAUAAAGGAUAGAAGUUGGAGGCCUAUGGCCUAAAACUCUGGAGAAAUAGAACCCCAAGACCAGGGGAAAUCUGAAGAUGAGGAACCCCCCAUCUCUCAUGUUGUUAAAGCCCCUUCUCCUGGACAUUCGGCACGCCUCACUUGAUGUAUUUGUCAAUGUAGCUUUUUACUAUAAAGGAACCAGCAUUUAGAUUGACAGUUUUAUGUGGGGAUUGAUCUUUAGUUUGUAAAAUUUUUGAUGUAAACUUCCAUUUCUCUUCAUAUCUGCUCCAUUUGAGAAAGAACAUAAUUCAGCCAGUGGUAUCUAGUCUGACUUGAUAUUCCCCUAGGAGCAAGCAUCCAUAUGGCACUGUGCUUUCAUUCUCCCUAACUCAGAAGUCCUAGGCUAUGAGAAAGGAAAGCAUCAGACUAUUAGGGGAGAAACAGUAUCAGACUCUUUAGAGAAAAUAGGAAGAAUCAGACAAGCAAUAUGCAAAUGCAUCAACCUUCUGAGAAGCACCAGCCAGCAUCACCUUCCUUAGGUGAGCAGGGUAUGGAAUUUCUAAUAAUGGUCAAAGUGAUUAGGUUUAGGGCAGUCUGAGGUCUGAACUCCCUUGCUCAUUGUAGCGGCCAAGUAAGCAUUCCAUUAAAUCUACUCCUGGGUUUAACAUCCACCUUUAGGAUUAAUGAGAGAAUUUGGGACUUCAUCUUAUGGCCCACUCCCUUAAAGUGGGAACUUGACCUAAGUAAUUGAUACAACACAGGAGAAAAAGCCCAACAUGCUCAUGGCACAUUGGCAACCACACAGUAAGUAACAUUUGCAAAUGUAACAAGUUUUUACAAGACUUCUUGGUCUCAGUUCCAUAUUCUUUUAAAAAGAAAAACCUUUUCAGAAGGUUAAGAAUCCCUCACUGGCCCAUUGCCUGGACAUAACCAAGCCAGGGAAUAUGACUGAAUAACAGUAAUUUCCUUCUCUAUGCCUAUCUUUGUGUUGAGCACUUAGGAUGUGAUACUUAAUUGUGGCCACUUCCAGGUAACAUGAAGAUGUUACCAGGUAAUAAGAAAAAUGUACAAAUACGCUUUGUACCAUAAAGUACACUAAAACUUCUAACUCAGUGUUGAAUGAAUGCAUAGCCUAAUACAUGCAUUCUGCUGGUCUAUGUGCUGCAGGUGCAAAGACUGCUGUAGAUAUAAUGAGUAAAAUAUGGCUUGAAGGAAGAAUAAUCCAUGUACUUAAGGCCAAUGUGUUUCUACUGCUUUGGUGAUUUUCAGUAAAAUACAUUACACCAGGCAGCAAAAAGAAAAUACAUAGAAACUGGUUUUAAACUACAAAAUGUGCCACAAAUAUAAAUGACUACACUAUUGUGAUCAUCUUAUAAUUUGCAAAACACCAUGCUUGGCACCAGGGAUAACAAAGGAGGACAUUUUACAACAGAACUGAAUUUUAAGAAAGAACAGAGUAAAGUGCUUUGUAAACUGAAGCAUUAUACAGCUAUCCGUUAGCAACAUGUGCACGGAUGAAUCAAUACUAACUACCUCCUAUGUGUGAGGUAUUAUGUUAGCUAUGUGAAAUAUAAGAUGAACUGUCUCGAGCAACGAGCAACUCUGCCAUGAAAUAAGAAUGUGUCCAUUGUAUGCUAUUUAUUUACAAUGAGUGUGAUAAUGCUUAACUUAAUCAGUCAAUACAAGAACAUUUGCCCAUAUACCAGAGGGAAAUGUUAUGGCCCUGUGUAUUUUCUUAGCUAUAAAGCACUACAGAAGUAUGAGACAUUACAUAUUUUCUAUAGAAAUAAAACUGCCUAUAAAAUAGGCGUGUCUCUACAAAAUUCUCAUUGCAUUUUUGGCCUCAAUGAGAAUAGUAUAAAUAUUUAACAAGCUGGGUGUGGUAGGGUAUGCUCUGAGUUCAGGCAGCUGAAGCAGGACCACUGAAGCCCAGACAUGAGGCUAGCCUUGGAAUACAAUGAGAUAAAUCUCAGUAAACCAAGAGCUUAAACGCCUGCUCAAUUAAUAUAACAAUGUCUAUAUAUAGUAUAUUCUCUUAUGGGCACUGGAGAGGUAAACAGAUUUACAUUCCAUUGUGCCCAAAGCUGAGAGUAAUGUGUAUGUUGGCAUUUUAUGAACUUUGGGGCACCAUAUAAAAGUAACAAUUUAUUAUUCUUAUUUGGUGCCAAUUACUUUUAAAAUUCUGUC